UACGUAGGGGGCUAGCGUUGUCCGGAAUCAUUGGGCGUAAAGCGCGCGUAGGCGGCUCGAUAAGUCCGCUGUGAAAGUCCAGGGCUCAACCCUGGGAUGCCGGUGGAUACUGUCGGGCUCGAGUCCGGAAGAGGCGAGUGGAAUUCCUGGUGUAGCGGUGAAAUGCGCAGAUAUCAGGAGGAACACCAAUGGCGAAGGCAGCUCGCUGGGACGUGACUGACGCUGAGACGCGAAAGCGUGGGGAGCAAACAGG
rnacentral:rRNA from 1 species